rnacentral:rRNA from 1 species
UAUAGGGCAAUAGGGGGAAACCCUGACCCAGCAACGCCGCGUGAGGGAAGAAGGCCAAACGGUUGUAAACCUCUGUCAUAUGGGAAGAAGGAAUGACAGUACCAUAUGAGGAAGCUCCGGCUAACUACGUGCCAGCAGCCGCGGUAAUACGUAGGGAGCAAGCGUUGUCCGGAAUUACUGGGCGUAAAGGGUGCGUAGGCGGCAUGUUAAGUUAGAUGUCAAAUACCCGGGCUUAACCCGGGGACGCAUCUAAAACUGGCGUGCUUGAGUGCAGGAGAGGAAAGCGGAAUUCCUAGUGUAGCGGUGGAAUGCGUAGAUAUUAGGAGGAACACCAGUGGCGAAGGCGGCUUUCUGGACUGUAACUGACGCUGAAGCACGAAAGCGUGGGGAGCAAACAGGAUUAGAUACCCUGGUAGUCCACGCUGUAAACGAUGGAUACUAGGCGUGGGUGACAGAAGUCAUCUGUGCCGCAGCAAACGCAAUAAGUAUCCCGCCUGGGGAGUACGGUCGCAAGACUGAAACUCAAAGGAAUUGACGGGGGCCCGCACAAGCAGCGGAGCAUGUGGUUUAAUUCGAAGCAACGCGAAGAACCUUACCAAGGCUUGACUUCCUCUGACGCGCGUAGAGAU